GAUGGUUGGGAGAGGGAUGCAGAAUUCCAGGUGUAGCGGUGAAAUGCGUAGAUAUCUGGAGGAAUACCGGUGGCGAAGGCGGCAUCCUGGACCGGCAUUGACGCUGAAGCGCGAAAGCUAGGGGAGCAAACGGGAUUAGAUACCCCGGUAGUCCUAGCCCUAAACGAUGAAUGCUUGGUGUGGCGGGUAUCGAUCCCCGCCGUGCCGAAGCUAACGCAUUAAGCAUUCCGCCUGGGGAGUACGGUCGCAAGGCUGAAACUUAAAGGAAUUGACGG
rnacentral:rRNA from 1 species